rnacentral:ncRNA from 1 species
AAAGUACGAUUAGGGAAAGAAGAAAAAGAUUUUUAAAAGAGAAAAGAUUGUUAAUUGAGAGUUAACGAGAACCUAUCUCACGACAAGGUGCUGUCAGCGAGUUGGGCUAUUUGGGAAUGCAGUCUUGAUCAGGUGGUAAAUUCUGUCCAAGGCUAAAUACAGGCAAGAGGCAAAGUACGAUUCGGGAAAGAAGAAAAAGAUUUUUAAAUGAGAGUUAAUGAAAGCUGGAAAUUGUCAGAAGGGAAGCAGAUGGAGGUGGUCAUGCAGGCAAAACAGUGCAUGCCGUCGCAGUGGCACAAGCACCAGUGGGAGACCACCUGUUGUUUUGCCAUCACGGUGGCCAAGGAACAAAGUGUGUGCACUUCCUUUGCUGGUGAGGUCAAAGGAGUAUUAAGUCAUCCACCAGGAUUCCCUUCGCUGUGUUAUGCCCCACAUGAAUGGUAUGUGUCAAAAAGAUGAGGCUAGGCACAAGUCCAUGGCGAUUUUGCUGAAAUAGAUCCCCAAAAACCAAAAGAAGUCCCUGUUAUUGUGCAGCCUUGUACUUAAGAUGGGGCAAAAUAGAUACCCCAAAGACCCUGCACCUAAACCAAAAGAAAUCCUUGUCAUGCAGUGUAACCUCGUACUUGGGGUGAUUUUGGCAAAAUAGAUACCCAAAGACCUUGAACCUAAACCAAAAGAAGUCCAUGUUAUACGGUGCAGCCUCGUACUUGGGGGUGUAUUUCUCUAAUCAAUUUCUAAUUUUGU